CCUAGUCACGUCCAGACUACAGCGGGAAGAGCGUCCCUGUGGUGGCUCGGCCUUCUCCUCUCUGAGAAGAGGAAGCCCCGGACCUCGGGAGCAGGAAGUGGUCCAGAAACUGCUCAGGUGUGGGUGUAGGUGGUUGAGCAACAGGCAGUCCUGCCUUCUUGAUUCCCCAUAAAGAUACAGUUCUCUGCAGUGCAUCUGAGAAGCAGCAGACAACCCAAAUUCUUGAGUCCCUGCCACCAUGAGGGAGACUUGGAUGGAGUUCCAGAUCCGAGCUUUGAUCUGACCCAGUCCCAGCCAUUGUGACCAUUUGCAUACUCCUUGGUGCUGCUGCUCUCUGUGGACUCGCCCUCCUCAGCCUCUGACUAGAGCACAGCCACUCUCCAGUGCUGACAUCCUCUGACACACAUUUCACUCUGCUGUUCUCUCUAAACUGUAGACUCUGCUUGGGCAACCCAACUAACUCUCAUGCAUAGAACACACACCUGAGGACUCCAGAGCCUUAGACUUCAGGUCUGAACUAACUUUCAUUUUCAGAUGACUGGUGAAAAAACAAGUCUGGAAGCCAGGGUGUAGCCUUGUGGUUUAGAUGCCUGUAUCCCACAUUGGAGUUUCUGGGUUUGAUUCCCAGUUCCAGCCCCUGACUCCAACUCCCUGGAAAUGCAAACCCUGAGAGCUAGCAAGUGAUGGCUCAGAUGAUGGGGUUCCCUGCUCCUGGGCCAGCCCUGGCCACUGUGGACUUUUGAGCAGUGAACUAGAGGGUGAAUACCACUUCUCUGUCUACUUGUUUGUCUCUCUGCAUC